UACGUAGGGUGCGAGCGUUGUCCGGAAUUAUUGGGCGUAAAGAGCUCGUAGGCGGUUUGUCACGUCUGCUGUGAAAUCCCGAGGCUCAACCUCGGGCCUGCAGUGGGUACGGGCAGACUGGAGUGCGGUAGGGGAGAAUGGAAUUCCUGGUGUAGUCGGUGGAAUGCGCAGAUAUCAGGAGGAACACCGAUGGCGAAGGCAGUUCUCUGGGCCGUAACUGACGCUGAGGAGCGAAAGCGUGGGUAGCGAACAGG
rnacentral:rRNA from 1 species